rfam:Myotis brandtii contig177890, whole genome shotgun sequence.
GGCCUGGUAGCUCAAUUGGUUAGAGCAUUGUCCUGAUAUGCCAAGGUUGGGGGUUUGAUCCCUCAUCAGGGCA